rnacentral:rRNA from 1 species
AAACCAACCGGGAUUGCCCUAGUAACGGCGAGUGAAGCGGCAACAGCUCAAAUUUGAAAUCUGGAGCCUUUGGCUUCCGAGUUGUAAUUUGCAGAGGGAGCCUCGGAGGGCGAGACGGUCCAAGUGCCUUGGAACAGGAUACCGCAGAGGGUGAGAGUCCCGUAUCCGGCCGAUCUUGCGCUCCGUGUGAGGCCCCUUCGACGAGUCGAGUUGUUUGGGAAUGCAGCUCCAAGCGGGUGGUAAAUUCCAUCUAAAGCUAAAUACUGGCCAGAGACCGAUAGCGAACAAGUAGAGUGAUCGAAAGAUGAAAAGCACUUUGAAAAGAGAGUCAAACAGUACGUGAAAUUGUUGAAAGGGAAGCGCAUGGGGGCAGACUUGGACGCGGGGUUCAGCGUUUCGAUUGGAGCGUGUACUUCCCCCGCGUGCCAGGCCAGCAUCGGUUCCGGGGGCCGGACAAAGACGUUGGGAAUGUGGCUCCCCUCGGGGAGUGUUAUAGCCCGGCGUGCAAUGCGGCCACCAUGGGACCGAGGACCGCGCCUUUGUGCAAAGGAUGCUGGCGUAAUGGCCUCAUGCGGCCCGUCUUGAAACACGGACCAAGGAGUCUAACAUCUAUGCGAGUGUUUGGGUGGCAAGCCCGGACGCGCAAUGAAAGUGAACGGAGGUGGGAGUCUGUUACAGGACGCACCAUCGACCGAUCCGGACGUCUUCUGAAGGAUUUGAGUAAGAGCAUAGCUGUUGGGACCCGAAAGAUGGUGAACUAUGCGUGAAUAGGGUGAAGCCAGACGAAACUCUGGUGGAGGCUCGCAGCGGUUCUGACGUGCAAAUCGAUCGUCAAAUUUGCGUAUAGGGGCGAAAGACUAAUCGAACCAUCUAGUAGCUGGGUCCUGCCGAAGUUUCCAUCUUGAUAGCAGUAACGCAUGACAGUUUUAUGAUGUAGAGCGAACGAUUACGGAGCUAGGGGUUGAAACGACCUUCAUCCCUUCUCUAACUCCAAUAAGGUAUUAAGUCUAUGAAGAUUUGGUGGACGGUGGACUCUCCAAUGCAGCGUUGCUAUUUGGUCUUAUGAUUGUUAGUCAUAACUGGCUAUGCUGGAUGGACCGAAC